rnacentral:rRNA from 1 species
CCUACGGGAGGCAGCAGUGGGGAAUAUUGGGCAAUGGGCGCAAGCCUGACCCAGCAACGCCGCGUGAAGGAAGAAGGCUUUCGGGUUGUAAACUUCUUUUAAGAGGGAAGAGCAGAAGACGGUACCUCUUGAAUAAGCCACGGCUAACUACGUGCCAGCAGCCGCGGUAAUACGUAGGUGGCAAGCGUUGUCCGGAUUUACUGGGGGUAAAGGGCGUGCAGCCGGGAAGACAAGUCAGAUGUGAAAUCCCGCGGCUCAACCGCGGAACUGCAUUUGAAACUGUUUUUCUUGAGUACCGGAGAGGUCAUCGGAAUUCCUGGUGUAGCGGUGAAAUGCGUAGAUAUAAGGAAGAACACCAGUGGCGAAGGCGGAUGACUGGACGGCAACUGACGGUGAGGCGCGAAAGCGUGGGGAGCAAACAGGAUUAGAUACCCCGGUAGUC